rnacentral:rRNA from 1 species
GGAAUUUUGGACAAUGGGCGCAAGCCUGAUCCAGCCAUUCCGCGUGCAGGAUGAAGGCCUUCGGGUUGUAAACUGCUUUUGUACGGAACGAAAAGGUGCCUCCUAAUACGGGGUGCUCAUGACGGUACCGUAAGAAUAAGCACCGGCUAACUACGUGCCAGCAGCCGCGGUAAUACGUAGGGUGCAAGCGUUAAUCGGAAUUACUGGGCGUAAAGCGUGCGCAGGCGGUGAUGUAAGACAGGUGUGAAAUCCCCGGGCUUAACCUGGGAACUGCACUUGUGACUGCAUUGCUGGAGUGCGGCAGAGGGGGAUGGAAUUCCGCGUGUAGCAGUGAAAUGCGUAGAUAUGCGGAGGAACACCGAUGGCGAAGGCAAUCCCCUGGGCCUGCACUGACGCUCAUGCACGAAAGCGUGGGGAGCAAACAGGAUUAGAUACCCUGGUAGUCCACGCCCUAAACGAUGUCAACUGGUUGUUGGGUCUUCACUGACUCAGUAACGAAGCUAACGCGUGAAGUUGACCGCCUGGGGAGUACGGCCGCAAGGUUGAAACUCAAAUGAAUUGACGG